AACGCUGGCGGCGUGCUUAACACAUGCAAGUCGAACGGAAAGGCCCUGCUUUUGUGGGGUGCUCGAGUGGCGAACGGGUGAGUAACACGUGAGUAACCUGCCCUUGACUUUGGGAUAACUUCAGGAAACUGGGGCUAAUACCGGAUAGGAGCUCCUGCUGCAUGGUGGGGGUUGGAAAGUUUCGGCGGUUGGGGAUGGACUCGCGGCUUAUCAGCUUGUUGGUGGGGUAGUGGCUUACCAAGGCUUUGACGGGUAGCCGGCCUGAGAGGGUGACCGGCCACAUUGGGACUGAGAUACGGCCCAGACUCCUACGGGAGGCAGCAGUGGGGAAUAUUGCACAAUGGGCGGAAGCCUGAUGCAGCAACGCCGCGUGCGGGAUGACGGCCUUCGGGUUGUAAACCGCUUUCGCCUGUGACGAAGCGUGAGUGACGGUAAUGGGUAAAGAAGCACCGGCUAACUACGUGCCAGCAGCCGCGGUGAUACGUAGGGUGCGAGCGUUGUCCGGAUUUAUUGGGCGUAAAGGGCUCGUAGGUGGUUGAUCGCGUCGGAAGUGUAAUCUUGGGGCUUAACCCUGAGCGUGCUUUCGAUACGGGUUGACUUGAGGAAGGUAGGGGAGAAUGGAAUUCCUGGUGGAGCGGUGGAAUGCGCAGAUAUCAGGAGGAACACCAGUGGCGAAGGCGGUUCUCUGGGCCUUUCCUGACGCUGAGGAGCGAAAGCGUGGGGAGCGAACAGGCUUAGAUACCCUGGUAGUCCACGCUGUAAACGGUGGGUACUAGGUGUGGGGUCCAUUCCACGGGUUCCGUGCCGUAGCUAACGCUUUAAGUACCCCGCCUGGGGAGUACGGCCGCAAGGCUAAAACUCAAAGGAAUUGACGGGGCCCCGCACAAGCGGCGGAGCAUGCGGAUUAAUUCGAUGCAACGCGUAGAACCUUACCUGGGUUUGACAUGGAUCGGGAGUGCUCAGAGAUGGGUGUGCCUCUUUUGGGGUCGGUUCACAGGUGGUGCAUGGCUGUCGUCAGCUCGUGUCGUGAGAUGUUGGGUUAAGUCCCGCAACGAGCGCAACCCUUGUUCACUGUUGCCAGCACGUUAUGGUGGGGACUCAGUGGAGACCGCCGGGGUCAACUCGGAGGAAGGUGGGGAUGACGUCAAGUCAUCAUGCCCCUUAUGUCCAGGGCUUCACGCAUGCUACAAUGGCUGGUACAGAGAGUGGCGAGCCUGUGAGGGUGAGCGAAUCUCGGAAAGCCGGUCUCAGUUCGGAUUGGGGUCUGCAACUCGACCUCAUGAAGUCGGAGUCGCUAGUAAUCGCAGAUCAGCAACGCUGCGGUGAAUACGUUCCCGGGGCUUGUACACACCGCCCGUCAAGUCAUGAAAGUUGGUAACACCCGAAGCCGGUGGCCUAACCGUUGUGGGGGAGCCGUCGAAGGUGGGACUGGUGAUUAGGACUAA
rnacentral:rRNA from 1 species